GUGGAUUAGAUACCCUGGUAGUCCACGCUGUAAACGAUGUCAACUGGGUGUCGGUAGUUUUACACUAGCGGUGCCGAAGCUAACGCGUUAAGUUGACCGCCUGGGGACUACGGCCGCAAGGCUAAAACUCAAAGGAAUUGACGGGGGCCCGCACAAGCAGCGGAGCGUGUGGUUUAAUUCGAUGCAACACGAAGAACCUUACCCAGGUUUGACAUGGUCGUAGUAGUGAACCGAAAGGGGAACGAGCCUUCGGGCAGCGAUCACAGGUGCUGCACGUUCGUCGUCAACU
rnacentral:rRNA from 1 species